rnacentral:rRNA from 1 species
GACGAACGCUGGCGGCGUGCUUAACACAUGCAAGUCGAGCGGUAAGGCCCUUUCGGGGGUACACGAGCGGCGAACGGGUGAGUAACACGUGGGUGACCUGCCCUCAGCUCUGGGAUAAGCCUGGGAAACCGGGUCUAAUACCGGAUAUGACUCCAUGACGCAUGUUGUGGGGUGGAAAGCCUUGUGCGGCUGAGGAUGGGCCCGCGGCCUAUCAGCUUGUUGGUGGGGUGAUGGCCUACCAAGGCGACGACGGGUAGCCGGCCUGAGAGGGCGACCGGCCACACUGGGACUGAGACACGGCCCAGACUCCUACGGGAGGCAGCAGUGGGGAAUCUUGCGCAAUGGGCGAAAGCCUGACGCAGCGACGCCGCGUGGGGAAGAAGGCC